rnacentral:rRNA from 1 species
UGCAGCAGAGCUCCGACCUUCGGGGACGAGCGCUUUUAUUAGACCAAAACCAAUCGGACCUCGUGUCCGUCCUUUGUGGUGACUCUGUAUAACUUUGGGCUGAUCGCACGGGCCUGUCCCGGCGACGUAUCUUUCAAGUGUCUGCCUUAUCAACUUUCGAUGGUAGGUUACGCGCCUACCAUGGUCGUAACGGGUAACGGGGAAUCAGGGUUCGAUUCCGGAGAGGGAGCCUGAGAAACGGCUACCACAUCCAAGGAAGGCAGCAGGCGCGCAAAUUACCCACUCCCAGAACGGGGAGGUAGUGACGAAAAAUAACAAUACGGGACUCUUUUGAGACCCCGUAAUUGGAAUGAGUACACUCUAAAUCCUUUAACGAGGAUCCAUUGGAGGGUAAGUCUGGUGCCAGCAGCCGCGGUAAUUCCAGCUCCAAUAGCGUAUAUUAAAGUUGUUGCGGUUAAAAAGCUCGUAGUUGGAUCUCAGUUCCAGACGGGUGGUCCGCCUACCGGUGGUUACUGCCUGUUCUGAACAGUCAGCCGGUUUCUCUUGAUGAUCUUCACCGGUUGUCUUGGGUGACCGGCAAGUUUACUUUGAAAAAAUUAGAGUGCUCAAAGCAGGCGUGACGCCUGAAUAAUGGUGCAUGGAAUAAUGGAAUAGGACCUCGGUUCUAUUUUGUUGGUUUUCGGAACACGAGGUAAUGAUUAAGAGGGACAGACGGGGGCAUUCGUAUUGCGACGCUAGAGGUGAAAUUCUUGGACCGUCGCAAGACGAACUACUGCGAAAGCAUUU